rnacentral:rRNA from 1 species
AUUGAACGCUGGCGGCAUGCCUUACACAUGCAAGUCGAACGGCAGCGGGGGAGAAGCUUGCUUUUCCUGCCGGCGAGUGGCGAACGGGUGAGUAAUACCUCGGAACGUGCCCUGUAGAGGGGGAUAACUAGUCGAAAGAUUAGCUAAUACCGCAUACGACCUGAGGGUGAAAGUGGGGGACCGCAAGGCCUCAUGCUAUAGGAGCGGCCGAUGUCUGAUUAGCUAGUUGGUGGGGUAAAGGCCUACCAAGGCGACGAUCAGUAGCUGGUCUGAGAGGACGAUCAGCCACACUGGGACUGAGACACGGCCCAGACUCCUACGGGAGGCAGCAGUGGGGAAUUUUGGACAAUGGGCGAAAGCCUGAUCCAGCAAUGCCGCGUGUGUGAAGAAGGCCUUCGGGUUGUAAAGCACUUUUGUCCGGAAAGAAAUGGCUCUGGUUAAUACCUGGGGUCGAUGACGGUACCGGAAGAAUAAGGACCGGCUAACUACGUGCCAGCAGCCGCAGUAA